rnacentral:sRNA from 1 species
GUUGGGCGUGGUGGCGCACACCUGUGAUCCCAAAAGCUUGGGAGGCUGAGGCAGGAGGAUCACAAAUUCAAGGGCAGCCUCAGCAACUUAGUGAGACCCUGUUUCAA